GACGAACGCUGGCGGCGUGCCUAAUACAUGCAAGUCGAGCGGACAGAUGGGAGCUUGCUCCCUGAAGUCAGCGGCGGACGGGUGAGUAACACGUGGGCAACCUGCCUGUGAGACUGGGAUAACUUCGGGAAACCGGAGCUAAUACCGGAUACGUUCUUUCCUCGCAUGAGAGAAGAUGGAAAGAUGGUUUCGGCUAUCACUUACAGAUGGGCCCGCGUCGCAUUAGCUAGUUGGUGAGGUAAUGGCUCACCAAGGCAACGAUGCGUAGCCGACCUGAGAGGGCGAUCGGCCACACUGGGACGUAGACACGGCCCAGACUCCUACGGGAGGCAGCAGUAGGGAAUCUUCCGCAAUGGACGAAAGUCUGACGGAGCAACGCCGCGUGAACGAUGAAGGCCUUCGGGUCGUAAAGUUCUGUUGUUAGGGAAGAACAAGUACCAGAGUAACUGCUGGUACCUUGACGGUACCUAACCAGAAAGCCACGGCUAACUACGUGCCAGCCGCCGCCGUAAGAC
rnacentral:rRNA from 1 species